rnacentral:rRNA from 1 species
CGUAUCACCCAAGACAACUUUACACAGUUGACGCCUGACGGAGCGAAGCGACGUCAAAGCGUUUUACAACGUCGAGUUGGCUUAGGGAUACGUUCGUUGGGUAGGGGAGCGUUCUGUAAGCCGUUGAAGGUGUGUCGUGAGGCAUGCUGGAGGUAUCAGAAGUGCGAAUGCUGACAUAAGUAACGAUAAAGCGGGUGAAAAGCCCGCUCGCCGGAAGACCAAGGGUUCCUGUCCAACGUUAAUCGGGGCAGGGUGAGUCGACCCCUAAGGCGAGGCCGAAAGGCGUAGUCGAUGGGAAACGGGUUAAUAUUCCCGUACUUGGUGUUACUGCGAAGGGGGGACGGAGAAGGCUAUGUUGGCCGGGCGACGGUUGUCCCGGUUUAAGCGUGUAGGUGUGUGUUCCAGGUAAAUCCGGUUCACUUUAACACUGAGGCGUGAUGACGAGGCACCACGGUGCUGAAGCAACAAAUGCCCUGCUUCCAGGAAAAGCCUCUAAGCCUCAGGUAACAUCAAAUCGUACCCCAAACCGACACAGGUGGUCAGGUAGAGAAUACCAAGGCGCUUGAGAGAACUCGGGUGAAGGAACUAGGCAAAAUGGUGCCGUAACUUCGGGAGAAGGCACGCUGACACGUAGGUGAAGUGGUUUACCCAUGGAGCUGAAGUCAGUCGAAGAUACCAGCUGGCUGCAACUGUUUAUUAAAAACACAGCACUGUGCAAACACGAAAGUGGACGUAUACGGUGUGACGCCUGCCCGGUGCCGGAAGGUUAAUUGAUGGGGUCAGCGCAAGCGAAGCUCCUGAUCGAAGCCCCGGUAAACGGCGGCCGUAACUAUAACGGUCCUAAGGUAGCGAAAUUCCUUGUCGGGUAAGUUCCGACCUGCACGAAUGGCGUAAUGAUGGCCAGGCUGUCUCCACCCGGGACUCAGUGAAAUUGAACUCGCUGUGAAGAUGCAGUGUACCCGCGGCAAGACGGAAAGACCCCGUGAACCUUUACUAUAGCUUGACACUGAACACUGGUCCUUGAUGUGCAGGAUAGGUGGGAGGCUUUGAAGUGUGGACGCCAGUCUGCAUGGAGCCAUCCUUGAAAUACCACCCUUUAAUGGCUGGUGUUCUAACGUGGGCCCGUGAACCGGGUUGCGGACAGUGUCUGGUGGGUAGUUUGACUGGGGCGGUCUCCUCCUAAAGAGUAACGGAGGAGCACGAAGGUUGGCUAAUCCUGGUCGGACAUCAGGAGGUUAGUGCAAUGGCAUAAGCCAGCUUGACUGCGAGCGUGACGGCGCGAGCAGGUGCGAAAGCAGGUCAUAGUGAUCCGGUGGUUCUGAAUGGAAGGGCCAUCGCUCAACGGAUAAAAGGUACUCCGGGGAUAACAGGCUGAUACCGCCCAAGAGUUCAUAUCGACGGCGGUGUUUGGCACCUCGAUGUCGGCUCAUCACAUCCUGGGGCUGAAGUAGGUCCCAAGGGUAUGGCUGUUCGCCAUUUAAAGUGGUACGCGAGCUGGGUUUAGAACGUCGUGAGACAGUUCGGUCCCUAUCUGCCGUGGGCGCUGGAAGAUUGAGGGGGGCUGCUCCUAGUACGAGAGGACCGGAGUGGACGCAUCACUGGUGUUCGGGUUGUCAUGCCAAUGGCACUGCCCGGUAGCUACAUGCGGAAGAGAUAAGUGCUGAAAGCAUCUAAGCACGAAACUUGCCCCGAGAUGAAUCUUCCCUGAGCCUUUAAGGCUCCUGAAGGAACGUUGAAGACGACGACGUUGAUAGGCCGGGUGUGUAAGCGCAGCGAUGCGUUGAGCUAACCGGUACUAAUGAACCGUGAGGCUUAACCUUACA